rnacentral:rRNA from 1 species
UACGUAGGGUGCGAGCGUUAAUCGGAAUUACUGGGCGUAAAGCAUGCGCAGGCGGUUCGUUGUGUCGGCGGUGAAAGCCCCGGGCUUAACCUGGGAAUGGCCGUUGAAACUGGCGAACUGGAGUGUGGCAGAGGGGGUGGAAGUUCCGCGUGUAGCAGUGAAAUGCGUAGAGAUGCGGAGGAACACCGAUGGCGAAGGCAGCCCCCUGGGCUAACACUGACGCUCAGGCACGAAGCGUGGGAGCAACAGG